UGUGCACCGGUGGGGUCCCUCAGCCUGGCCUGUGCCCUCUUGCAAUUCAGGACCCCUUGAGGGGUGUUGGAGAGCCGGUUUCAGCCCAAUCCCCACAGGCCAGGCUGAGGGACCCCACCAGUGCAUG
rnacentral:pre_miRNA from 1 species